UAGUGGUAAUUUACUCAUUUUGCCCUGGCUUGAUUGUCUAUAUUAGCUCAGAAUUAUUCCUACCUUUAAGUUAUAAAAAAGAGAGUUCUUUUCUAAAUAACUGCUAAGGUAACAAAGAUGUUUACUGUACAUUUCCUUGCUCUCCUCCUAUUUUUCGGUGUCUUUCUCACUUUGGCAUCUGCGAACAGAAACGAAGAUUCUAUCUGUCUUUCCGUACCCGGCGAAUUCAUGCACAUGGCGGAUCGAUUCAUGUCCAUCAUUGAAACUUUUUUCAAGAGAUGAAAUUGUAACGAGUUCAUAUAAAAUGUCACGAAGGCUUAAAUCUUGUACCACAAAGAGAAUAAAACGCUAUCUUAAUAUUGA